AAUCCGUGGUGUGGGAACCUCUAAAUUAACAUCUUGAAACGCUCCCAUGCUUCGUAAUGGUUUUCUCCUUCUAACUGCUUGAAUAUCAAAAUUUCUCUUCUUAAUAAGACC
rfam:Gossypium hirsutum cultivar TM-1 chromosome 9, whole genome shotgun sequence